UCAGUUACCACUCUUCCAUUAAUAUAGCAACAAGAAUAAUGGAUAUAGAGAAGAUCUCUAUCGAAAUCCCAACAAAUGCAGUGCACGGAUCACUAUCACAAUCCUUUUCACCACUUCCAUAAUUCCAGAGAAAAAGAAAAAAAAUUGAGAGUGCAAAGAAGAUUUUACCAAAUGCAGUUUUACAUAUUAGAGAUUAGAAAGACUACAAACUUCCAAGUCGAGAUGGCAAAUUCUCACUAUCCGAGCAGCAGUGACAAAUCGGCGGUGAACCGGCGAACCGGCGGAGAAGCCGACAGCGAUGGCGACGGCUCUGUGCAGCGACGGAGAAACAGCAGAGGCCGCCGGCGUGAGAUGGUCUGACGGUGGCUGACCGCAGCUGCUGUGACCGAAACCGACGGCGACGGCAGCAGUGGCGUCGGGUACAGCGGCUCCGAGCGACGGCGUGGACGGGGCCAGCAGCAGCACUCCCCAGCAGAGACGGCAGAACCAGCGACGGAGGGAGUCGGACGAUGCCAUGUCGCCGGAGUGCAGCGAGCGUCGGAGGAGGAAUGGCCGACGGCUCUGGUAUGGAGUGUUGGUGGAGCGACGGAGAGAGAGACGACGGGGUGAGGGAUUUCUCAAUUUGGGAGGAUUUCUCAAUUUGGGGAUUUGUGUGAAUUGGAGAAGAAAUAGAGAGAUGGGUGUUGUUUCUAGAGAAGAAGAUGAAUGUAAGAUUGAGGGAGAGUGAAAUAUGUGAUGUGAUUUUAGGAAGGAGUAAAGAGAGGAGUUUGGGGAAGAGAGAUGGGAGAUAGAGAUGCUGCCGUACAGAUCAUGUGUAGAAGAAGAAGAAUGAUGUUAGGGAGUAUAGGUUUGGGCUGCUUGUUGGGCCAAGGAUUUAUUUUAAAUAUUGGGCCUUAGAUUAUUUUGAGAUGUGGUUAUUAUUAUGGAAUUUGAUUACACAUUGCCCAGCCUUUUCUAUUUUAAAUUUGGGACGGAAGAGUGGGGUAUGUGUAGUGAUGGGUUAGUAAAUCUAAUGGGAAAUUGCUUAUCUUGGCAGAGGGUUUUGAUAAAGGAUUUGGAUUGGAGUUAAUUUGAGUUCGGGCUAAACUAAUUAAGUGGAAGAUUUGGGCCAGUAGCUAGGAGCUUCACGGAUUGAAUUAAAGAAUCAUAUUGUUGUGAUAGAGUCGGCUGACCUUAUGAUUAAUGUACGAGGAUUUCAGAAUUUUCUAUGUAAUGUCGAAGGGGUGAAUUUUUGGCAAGCUAUUUGAAAACAAAACGGCGGAAAGACGAGUUGAGGAGUUAAGAGAAUGAGGUUGAGCUGUGACAAGCGCGGUGGGUGUUGAGCAGAG